rnacentral:tRNA from 1 species
ACGCAUAGCUCAGCUGGUUAGAGCGUUCGCCUCACACGCGAGAGGUCAAGGGUUCGAGUCCCUUUGCGUCC